GAUGAACGCUAGCGGCAGGCCUAACACAUGCAAGUCGAGGGGUAACAGGGUAGCAAUAUCGCUGACGACCGGCGCACGGGUGAGUAACACGUAUGCAACCUUCCUUUAACUGGGGGAUAGCCCGGAGAAAUUCGGAUUAAUACCCCAUAAUAUCACAGAAAGGCAUCUUUUUGUGAUUAAAGCUCCGGCGGUUAAAGAUGGGCAUGCGUACCAUUAGCUAGUUGGUGAGGUAACGGCUCACCAAGUCAACGAUGGUUAGGGGGUCUGAGAGGAUGCUCCCCAAGAGUGGUACUGCGACACGGACCAGAGUCCUACGGGAGGCAGCAGUGAGAAAUAUUGGGCAAUGGGCGCAAGCCUGGCCCAGCCAUGCCGCGUGAAGGAUGAAUGCCCUAUGGGUUGUAAACUUCUUUUGUACGGGACGAAACUCCUGGUCGUGACCGGGAUUGACUGUACCGUGCGAAUAAGCAUCGGCUAACUCCGUGCCAGCAGCCGCGGUAACAC
rnacentral:rRNA from 1 species